rnacentral:lncRNA from 1 species
GCUGCCAUAUAUAAUGUUUCUUUAAAAUCUCACAUUAUAAGCAGUUGUUCUUGGCUAUAGUUUUAAAUCACCUGGGAGUUUUUGAAAAUCCUAAUGUCAAGAUCUCUCCAAGCCAGCAUCAAAUCAAAAUCUUUAAAGUUAUUAAAAUAAAAGGCAACCAUAGACUGAAAGGAAAUAUUUACAAAAAUGUUUAUCUGACAAAGAACUUGUAUCUAAAAUACAUAACCUUUUUUUUUCCCAAUGCUAGUGAUCAAACCCAGAACCUUGUGCAAGCUAGGCAAGUGCUCUACCACUAAACUGCAUUCCCAGUCUUAUAAACAACUCUUAAAACUCAGUAAGAAAACCACCCAAUUUUUAAGAUGGGCAAAAGAUCUAUCAAACACUUUACCAAGGAAAAUAUGUGGACAGCAAUUAGGUAUGUAAAAAGAUGCUCAACAUUAGUCAUUAGGAAAAUGUAAAUUAAAAUCAUAAUGAUACCACUUUGCAGCUAUUAGAAUAGCUUAAGUUAAAGAGACUGACUUUUGGGAGCAGUGAAUGAAUUAUGGUCCUUGGGCUGUCCAGUGGCAGAAGCAAUGCCCAUCUUGGGAACUGUUGGAACAAAGGCAUCAAUUUGAGACUGCCCAGUGGCUGUGGUGAUGCCCUGUUCAAAAGGAGGUACUGUGCCAGCCACAGAAUUAUCAGUUCAUGACCUAGAAGUUCAGACACCAGCUGCCUGGGGAUAGAGAAUUAUGGGAGCAAGCUGAUAGUUCUAAUUGGGCUGUUUAUACCCUCAACUUCAGUUCUGUUUAUCUUGAAGAAACUUUCUCAUAAUAAAUGCUUUUUUUUUUUCCCUCACAAUGCCUUUACUUAUCUUUUUUUGGUGCUGAGGAUUGAACUCAGUUCCUCACAUGUGCAAGACAAGCACUCUACCACU